UGCACUUACGUUUUGUUUUUGUUCUUAACUUGUGGACAAAGUCUUAUUAGGAUAGCGUGCCAAAAAACAAAUCCUCUUUUGCAACCAGGAACUCAUUGUUCAGUAUGAGUUUUGAUACAUACAUGUAAGAAGGGAUAUU
rnacentral:snoRNA from 1 species